rnacentral:rRNA from 1 species
UAGGGAAUCUUCCACAAUGGACGAAAGUCUGAUGGAGCAACGCCGCGUGAGUGAAGAAGGGUUUCGGCUCGUAAAACUCUGUUGUUAAAGAAGAACGUAUCCGAGAGUAACUGUUCAGGUAUUGACGGUAUUUAACCAGAAAGCCACGGCUAACUACGUGCCAC